GGGGAUGUAGCUCAGUUGGUAGAGUGCUUGCCUUGCAUGCAUGUGGCCCUGGGUUCAAUCCCCAGCACCACAA
rnacentral:tRNA from 1 species